rnacentral:lncRNA from 1 species
AUGAGGGAGCACAAACACUGUCUACCUGGUUGCAUAGAGUCUACUGCAUUGAUGACUCCCAUCAGCAGGAUUCAAAAGCAAACCAGUAAUGCUGAGAUGUUAUUAUUAAUUUAUACAGCCAGAAGAAACUAUUAUUUCUCCAAAAUAUUUGAGGAUUUUCUUGGUGAUGCCAAGCAAAACUUAAAGCCUGAAUGAUAUUCAAUCAAUAGGCUGGAGCAAGA